rnacentral:rRNA from 1 species
CCUACGGGUGGCAGCAGUGGGGAAUAUUGCGCAAUGGGCGAAAGCCUGACGCAGCGACGCCGCGUGAGGGAUGAAGGUCUUCGGAUCGUAAACCUCUGUCAGCAGUGCAGAACGGUCACUGUGCUAAUCAGCAGUGAAUUGACGGUACCUACAAAGGCAGCACCGGCUAACUCCGUGCCAGCAGCCGCGGUAAUACGGAGGGUGCGAGCGUUAAUCGGAAUUACUGGGCGUAAAGCGCUCGUAGGCGGUAAGUCAAGUCAAGUGUGAAAGCCCCGCGCUUAACGUGGGAACUGCCUUUGAAACUGGAAAACUGGAGUGUGUGAGAGGAUAGUGGAAUUCCAGGUGUAGGAGUGAAAUCCGUAGAUAUCUGGAGGAACAUCAGUGGCGAAGGCGACUAUCUGGCACAUAACUGACGCUGAGGAGCGAAAGCGUGGGUAGCAAACAGGAUUAGAUACCCCUGUAGUC